GCUGACUGCCCGCCUCCGCCUCCUCCUCCUCCUGCCCGGGGACUUCCCGAGCUCCGCCGGUUCCCGCCCACCGGCGGCAGGGGCUGGCUGCCAGCCUCCCUCAGGCUGCCGGGCCUGCCGUCCCAGCGCCCUCGCCCUCAGCCGGGCCCUUAGCGUCUCCCUGCCCUCACGCACCCCGUCGGCGUUUCCCGCCCUGAGGAGCCCAGGGCCGGCCAGCCGAGCGGGGAUUUAGGAUGGGGUUUGCUGUGGGGAUGUAGCCCGUUAAUGGCUGUCGAAGGACACGGUUGGAUGCAGCGUCUGGGCCGGGAUGUCCUUCGAGGCCUGGUUCUCGGGGUUGGCGCUGGUUGGGGCGGUCGCAGGGCUUAGUGACUGUCCUUAGCAGGGCGCUGGGCUGGAAUUGCCUCGCGGUGCCUGCUCUGAGGAAUUGUGAACUGUCUGCUGUUUAAUGAAAUCGUGCCUUUCUGCGGACUGGUAUCCUCAGCUGCCCUCCGAGCGCUGCUGCCAGGGACUCCCCAGCACAAGAAGGGAGAUGCACGGAUCCCUCUCCAGACGCACCCAGCUCGAGCUGUCCUAUACUGCUGUACCGCUCAAUGAAUUUGUCUGAUGUAUGUCGUGUCAGAGACUCUUCUUCAGGAAAGCUAGAGUUGAGCCUGAGGGAAGAGGAGACACCCGAGGGUCGUGGGUAACAUGCAGGAGCAGAGUGUGUUGGGUCUGUGAAGGAAGGAGACUUCUGUUCUAACUCCUGUCUCAGCGUUGCCUUGCUUCUGACUGAUGCUGUGGUAGCUGCUGGAAACUCCUGAUUUUGGCCAGGAUCCCAUAGAUACUGUACAGACGUAGCCCAAAGACUGACUUCUCUCUCAGGACACUAUGAAUAUACACGACACCAGUCUGGAUUGCUUCCUCUGAGCAGCUCAGGUUCCUAAAGGAGCUUUGCUUUAUUCUGUCCACAGAGGUAUCCACAGGUCUGUGGAAGGACUACUACCCUUGAUUAAUACCUGGGCUUCUUGCCAAUGCAAAUGCUGGAGUGUUUGCUGUGACUUCAGAUUUGCUGAUUAAGCUUAAUUUCCAAGUGACAGGUAAUUUGAAAACACCGUAAAAGAUAUGUUCUUUCAGGCUUUGAGCAGACUAAGUGGGGGAGAGGGGAUGUUACGAAGUGCAUCCAACUUCUGCAGUCAGCAGCACUGUGUGAUGAAUGUCACCAUAACCUAGAGAGAAGUAAGAUAAUGAAAUGCUUUCAUUUCUUCUGACAGUUAAAUGCUAACAUGGCCUGGAGAGGGCUCAGAGCCAGCUGGUAAAAUUACAUUAAACAGUGUCAGGCCUUAGAUUAUCAUCUACAGUAAGACAACUACAAAGAGCAUGAAAGUCACAUGUAUGAUCUGAAUGUUUAUCUGCCAUUAACAGAUGGUAUGUUCAAUCUGAGUUCACCAUGGAUUUUUGAUUAUCAGUCCAAUAAUGAACCUAUUUCUAUUAAUAACUGUUAUUACCUUCAAAGGGAGAAUCAUCAAAUGCAAAGUCCAGGAAGCCAAAAGAUGACAGAAAUAAAAUAGUAGAAAAAAGUGACCCAAGAUCAUGGUUUUAGUCUGAUAACCCUGUUGUGGGCAGGAUAUGUGAAGCAAAGGUAGUGCCAAAGAAUGUAUCUAACUAAUUGCUUUUGGCCCAUUCCGUGCCGUUUAAUACAGUGUGUCAUGUACCACUUUCCCUCCCACAUACAGCUGAAUCGAUAACUUCUUUUACAACUGCAAUUAUAUAACAUCUCUGUGCAAUGACAUAGAAAAGUAAAAAUAGUACCUCUCACACAGCUCUUAGAUGAUCUAAUUUGGAGCUUGCUCGUAUGUAGAGAAAUUUGUAUGUAACGCUUUUUCUUUUCAGCUUUUUCCAUCCUCAAAUGAGUUGCAGUUUGAUUGUGCCGAAUUGCUGGAAUUCCUCACUAUCAGCUCUGAUUUCUUUCUUGAAACAAACUCAUUCUGUCACCAGCCAAAAAUAUUAUCUGUAAUCUUUUUUUUCUAAUAAAUUUGGUGAUUGGAGUCAAA